rnacentral:rRNA from 1 species
UACAGAGGGUGCAAGCGUUGUUCGGAAUUAUUGGGCGUAAAGCGCGUGUAGGCGGCCAAGCAAGUUGGGUGUGAAAGCCCUCGGCUUAACCGAGGAAGUGCGCCCAAAACUACUUGGCUUGAGUACCGGAGAGGAUGGCGGAAUUCCCGGUGUAGAGGUGAAAUUCGUAGAUAUCGGGAGGAACACCAGUGGCGAAGGCGGCCAUCUGGACGGAUACUGACGCUGAGACGCGAAAGCGUGGGGAGCAACAGG